rnacentral:sRNA from 1 species
AAAUAUGAAGGUGGUCUAGUUGUUAACAUCUACCACUCUGCUGAUUGCCAGACUAUUUUGGCUAAAUUACUGGCCAAGUAGGUAUCUCUUCCCUCCUUCAUCAUGCCAUAUACAAUCCUUCCAAAACUUGAAGCUCGGUCCAAAAGUAACCAGAUAGUAACGAAUGGUUUUUCAACCCCUUGGUAGAAAUUACCCCUCUCCAAAACUGACCUACAACCCUGUCAAAGGUAUUGAAUAUGCAAAUCUAUUCUCUUAU